AUGGCAGCUAGGACGUCGAUCACGGCCACGAAACGGCCAUGGCUGCUGCUUCUCGCAGCACUGGCCACGGUGGUAGCGCACGUCGACGGUGCGACUGUAGCCGCUCCGGCGCCGGCUGUUGACUGCAGCGACGCCUUGAUCAGCCUGGCGGGGUGCCUGAGCUACGUGCAGGAGGGGAGCACGGUGGCGACGCCGGAGGGGUCGUGCUGCUCGGGGCUCAAGGACGUGGUGAAGAAGGAGGUGGCCUGCCUCUGCCAGGCCUUCCAGGGCGGCCAGGACUACGGCGUCACCCUCAACAUGACCAAGGCCCUGCAGCUGCCCGGCGCCUGCAAGGUCAAGACGCCUCCCUUCAGCAAGUGCCACA
rnacentral:rRNA from 1 species